UUGGGAGCUCUCCCAUAUGGUCGACCUGCAGGCGGCCGCGAAUUCACUAGUGAUUAGAGUUUGAUCCUGGCUCAGAACGAACUCUUUCGGAUUCCCGCCCCAUGGAAGUUAAACGGAUCAACGUCGGGCCUUCGCCCUAUAGUUAGUAGGUAGUAACGUGAAUCUGCCCAUCAGUACGGAAUAACAUUUAGAAAUAAAUGCUAAUACCGUAUAUUCUCUUCGGAGGAAAGAUUUAUCGCUGAUGGAUGAGCCCGCGUCAGAUUAGGUAGUUGGUAGGGUAAUGGCCUACCAAGCCAACGAUCUGUAGCUGGUCUGAGAGGAUGAUCAGCCACACUGGGACUGAGACACGGCCCAGACUCCUACGGGAGGCAGCAGUGGGGAAUAUUGGACAAUGGGCGAAAGCCUGAUCCAUAAAUACUGAGGGUAUGCAUGCCUUCGCGUUGUGAGCCCUUUCAGAGGGACGAUAAUGACGGUACCUGCCAAUAAAGCCCCGGCUAACUCCGUGCCAGCAGCCGCGGUAAUACGAAUCGAAUUCCCGCGGCCG
rnacentral:rRNA from 1 species